rnacentral:rRNA from 1 species
UACGUAGGGUGCAAGCGUUGUCCGGAAUUAUUGGGCGUAAAGAGCUCGUAGGCGGUCUGUCGCGUCGGCUGUGAAAACUCGGGGCUCAACCCCCGAGCCUGCAGUCGAUACGGGCAGACUAGAGUGCUGUAGGGGAGACUGGAAUUCCUGGUGUAGCGGUGAAAUGCGCAGAUAUCAGGAGGAACACCGGUGGCGAAGGCGGGUCUCUGGGCAGUAACUGACGCUGAGGAGCGAAAGCGUGGGGAGCAAACAGG